rnacentral:rRNA from 1 species
AUUGAACGCUGGCGGCAGGCCUAACACAUGCAAGUCGAGCGAGCGGCGGACGGUUGCGUAAUGUAUGGUGAUCUGCCCGAUAGAGGGGGAUCACUACUGGAAACGGUAGCUAAUCCCGCAUACUAUCGGAUGAACCCAUAGGGGAUUAGCUAGUAGGUGAGGUAAUGUCUCACCUAGGCGACUAUCCCUAGCUGGCCUGAGAGGAUGAUCAGCCACACUGGGACUGAGACACGGCCCAGACUCCUACGGGAGGCAGCAGUGGGGAAUAUUGCACAAUGGGCGCAAGCCUGAUGCAGCCAUGCCGCGUGUAUGAUGAAGGCCUUCGGGUUGUAAAGUACUGUUGGCAGAGAAGCGGUAUCUGCAGAAUAAGCACCGGCUAACUACGUGCCAGCAACCGCGGUAAUUC